rnacentral:rRNA from 1 species
CAGCAGCCACGGGAAUACGUAGGGUGCAAGCGUUAAUCGGAAUUACUGGGCGUAAAGCGUGCGCAGGCGGUUAUAUAAGACAGAUGUGAAAUCCCCGGGCUCAACCUGGGAACUGCAUUUGUGACUGUAUAGCUAGAGUACGGCAGAGGGGGAUGGAAUUCCGCGUGUAGCAGUGAAAUGCGUAGAUAUGCGGAGGAACACCGAUGGCGAAGGCAAUCCCCUGGGCCUGUACUGACGCUCAUGCACGAAAGCGUGGGGAGCAAACAGGAUUAGAUACCCGAGUAGUCCCUGUCUCUUAUAC